GAUGAACGCUGGCGGCGUGCCUAAUACAUGCAAGUCGAGCGAACAGACGAGGAGCUUGCUCCUUCGACGUUAGCGGCGGACGGGUGAGUAACACGUAGGGAACCUACCUAUAAGACUGGGAUAACUUCGGGAAACCGUAGCUAAUACCGGAUAAUAUUUCGAACCGCAUGGUUCGAUAGUGAAAGAUGGUUUUGCUAUCACUUAUAGAUGAACCUGCGCCGUAUUAGCUAGUUGGUAAGGUAACGGCUUACCAAGGCAACGAUACGUAGCCGACCUGAGAGGGUGAUCGGCCACACUGGAACUGAGACACGGUCCAGACUCCUACGGGAGGCAGCAGUAGGGAAUCUUCCGCAAUGGGCGAAAGCCUGACGGAGCAACGCCGCGUGAGUGAUGAAGGUCUUCGGAUCGUAAAACUCUGUUAUUAGGGAAGAACAAACGUGUAAGUAACUGUGCACGUCUUGACGGUACCUAAUCAGAAAGCCACGGCUAACUACGUG
rnacentral:rRNA from 1 species